CGUAAGCCACGCCAGUCUUACGCCGUGUGUGUGAACAUAGCCUUAUACACCAAGCUUAGGAAGGUCAUUUACCUUAAGGUCAUUUGCCUUAAUUCAAGUGACCACACAUCAUUUGGGAAUGUUGAUGAGUUUCCCAGGUACUAGACAAGGACAGGCAAUUAAUAAUCCUUAUUGGUCAGAUGGUAUGAAAGGUGAUGCUAUAUCACAUACAUUUGUACUUUUACAGACACUCCUCAGUUUGUCCUCCCUGAGUACUCAUUACUUUCGCUUUCUAUCAAUUUGUAUAUAUCAUCAACUUGUUUCUCAAGUAAAUACGCUUUUCACUUGGAAUACCUUGACAUGGCAAUACUCAGCUGAUACAACCACUUGGUAUUGGAUGUAAAAAAUGCUGUCAUUUUCUGCAGUGAUUCAACCAAGGGCUUUGAGAUUAAAAGUGCCUGUAGAUUUCUCUAACAGCAUGUAAAAUCAACAGUCUCCUUCUUCGAAUUUGUUCCAAUAUCUUUCUACGUACUGUUAUAAUGCUAUUGGUGCCGGGGAACGAUUUACUACAAAAA